AGCAGCCAGCAUAUUCCUCUAAGCAAAUGAAUCAAAUUUCUUCUUGUAGGAAAAGCCCUUUCCCGCUCUCGCGACGCUUGCGGAUGCCAGAGCGUUCGGUCAUGGAGGCCCGAAGAAUCACCAGCAGAGGACUUGGAGGAGACUCGAGGGAGUGGGACGAAGAAGGUUAUCGGCGUAGCAUUCUUGUGGAGAGGGAGCUCAGCUCACGCAUCGUCUUCAGGACCGCCUUCGCUCCCUCCGAAAACCCUAAUCCUGAAAUCGUACUGGUGGCUUCUAGCGACGGAUCUCUCUCCGCUUAUUCCAUUUCCUCUUGCAUCUCUUCCUGUCCUCGGCCUAUUCUUUGUAGCAAGGGGACCGAUCAAAAGGCACCUGAAGUUUUGUGGGCUGAUCCACUUUGUUCAAUUCAAGCACACAAAGGCCCAUCAUAUGAUUUGAAGUUAUAUGGAAAUGACGAGGAAGCUUUACUAUUGAGCUGCGGUGAUGAUGGUUGCAUCAGGGGCUGGAAAUGGGCAGAAGUCCAUAUGGCUGCAGUUCAAGCGUCAAAUAAAGGCGAAAAGUUGAGUCCAAUAUUCGAGUUAGUGAACCCUCAGAAAGAAGGUCCAUGGGGUGCGCUUUCCCCAAUUCCAGAAAACAAUGCCAUCGCAGUUGACAAAGAGGAUGGAUCUAUUUUUUCAGCUGCUGGAGAUUCUUGUGCUUAUUGGUGGGAUAUGGAGACAGGCAAAAGGAAAAUAGUCUUCAAGGGCCACUCAGAUUACCUCCAUUCUGUUGUUAUACGUAAAUCCAGCAAUCAGAUUAUUACUGGUUCUGAAGAUGGCACUGCGAGGGUAUGGGACUGCAGAAGCGGAAGAUGUGCUCAAGUUAUAUAUCCUGAGAAGUGCAGCAAGUUGAAGGAAUCUUCCUGGAUCAGUUCCGUUGCACUUGAUAAUAGUGAAAGUUGGUCUGUGGAACAGGUAGAGGUUUAUCAGCUUGGAGCCUGCUUUCAUACGAGUGUAUUUUCAGCUUUGAUAGCCAUGCCCCAAUUCAAGAUCUAUUGUUUCAUGAUAAUCAAAUUCUGGCAGUUGGUGCUGAACCUGUGCUGAGAUGUUUCAACAUUAAUGGAAAAAUUCUUUCACAAAUCCAAUGCGCUCCUUCUUCGGCAUUUUCAAUUUCUGUGCAUCCUUCAGGGGUCACAGCAAUUGGUGGUUAUGGUGGACUGGUGGAUGUCAUCUCAGAAUUUGGCAGCCAUUUGUGCAUAUUUGGUUGUAAAAAUGCAGGUUCUUUUUAAACUCUGAAGUUGAUUAUAAGAAGGCUUUCACUGUAUACAGAAUUUCUUCGUAAACGGCUGCUUCCAUUCCACCAGACGGCUUUGCUAAUCUGUCUCAAAGAGCUGUAUGAAUCAUGCAGACCAAAACUAAGUUUUCCUCGCCUUUCGUAAGCAAAGGAUGACAGCAUUAUUCUCUCUCAGCUGAAAAUAAGCGAAAGAGAGAAGAAGGCUUUUGGGUUCCUUGAUGUUGAUAAGCUGUGAUGUAAUCUUAUUCGAUGAUGUCACUUAUUUAAGAGGGCCAUUUGGAAUUUUUUUAUUUAUUUAUUUUCAUCUUA